rnacentral:lncRNA from 1 species
AUGAGUGAGGGAACCCAGGAGAAAUUAGCAAAGACAUUCUGGCUUAGGGCUGAACAUGGACUAAUGCCCGUAGCAGGAAAGAACAAUGAUGACAUUCAUGAGUCAGCACUCGCACCGUGCUGCUGCUGUCAAGGCUCAUUAUUUGUUGCUUUCAAGAGAGUUGCUUUUGCCUGCAGCAAAGCCGCUAACACCCACGGAAUAUUUCCCUAGGAUAAACACCAAGAAGUGAAAUUGCCCGGUGAAAGAGGUGAAGCAAAUUUUGACAACCUCAUUUGCAUUUCGACUGUUUUCCCUCCCAGGUGAGAAUGUUUACAAUCCAGCCCUUUUCUCUCCCGUCCUAAUUCUUUUCUCUCUCAUCCUUGUUGGGG